rnacentral:sRNA from 1 species
CUAGGUGAUAUGGUAUCCCGCUCACGCGGGUUUUUUCGGACCAAUCCCUUAAUUGGGCCUCAUUUCUGAGGUGGUCCAUGUUUCAUCGUUUAGAUAGGAAGUGCCAAAAUGGCUCUAGGUACCGUAAAGUGGUUCAAUGAUUCUAAAGGCUUCGGCUUUGUUACUCCAGACGAAGGCGGCGAAGACAUCUUCGCUCACUUCUCCGCGAUCAACAUGCCAGGCUUCAAAACUCUGAAAGAAGGCCAACGCGUUUCUUUCGACAUCACCAAUGGUGCUAAAGGCAAACAAGCCUCUAACAUCCAAGCUGCUUAAUUAGCCGCUGGUGAUCAAAAACCCCGCCAAGGCGGGGUUUUUUUA